UACGAAGGGGGCUAGCGUUGCUCGGAAUUACUGGGCGUAAAGGGCGCGUAGGCGGACAGUUUAGUCGGAGGUGAAAGCCCAGGGCUCAACCUUGGAAUAGCCUUUGAUACUGACUGUCUUGAGUUCGGGAGAGGUGAGUGGAAUGCCGAGUGUAGAGGUGAAAUUCGUAGAUAUUCGGCGGAACACCAGUGGCGAAGGCGACUCACUGGCCCGAUACUGACGCUGAGGCGCGAAAGCGUGGGGAGCAAACAGG
rnacentral:rRNA from 1 species